rnacentral:ncRNA from 1 species
AACCACUUUCCUGUGGAGCAUCAAAAUUCUUGUUUCUCUGUGUUAAGCACACAGAAUAAAGAAUCAGGAUGAUGCCCCACAACAUUUGCCUAUGUAUUAGAAAGCCAUCCUGAGGUAUAUGGAAGGAAAUCAUGAUCUAUCUGGCCCUAAGGGAAGAUGGAAAAAAAGAUAAAUGGAAAUAGAAGUUGUGAGCAGUUUCUGCUCUGAACUGUAAACAUCAAUACGGUAUUUUUGGCAGAUGGAGUGGUUCUAUUUUGUUGGUUUUUGGAACUGAGAUCAUAAUUAAGAGGGGUGCUUGGGGCAUUCGUAUUGUGCCACUAAAGGUGAAAUUCUUGGACUAGUGCAAGACAGACCAGAGGGAAAACAUUUGCCAAGAAUAUUUUCAUUAAUCAAGAAAGAAAGUCGGAGGUUCUAAGAUGGUCAGAUACCAUCGUAGUUCCGACCACAAACAAUGCCAACUGGAGAUGAAGUAGUGUUAUUCCCAUGACCCUCCCUGGCAGCUUCCUGGAAACCUAAGUGUUAGGGUUUGGGGGGAGUAUGGUUGCAAAGCUGAAACUUAAAGGAAUUGAUGGAAGGGCACCACUAGUAGUGGACGUUCAGCUUAAUUUGACUCUACAAGGGAGACCUCACCUGGACCAGACACAGACAGGAUUGACAGAUUGAUAGCUCUUUCUUGAAUCCAUGGGUGGUGGUGCAUGGCUGUUCUUAUUUGGUGGAGCAAUUUGUCUGGUUAAUUCCAAAAAGGAAGGAGACUCUGGCAUGCUAACUAGUUAAGCGACUCCCGGAGCGGUC